UUAUGGCUCAGGACGAACGCUGGCGGCGUGCCUAAUACAUGCAAGUCGAACGGUCUUUCUAUGGAAGCUUGCUUCCACUGAGAAGAUAGUGGCGAACGGGUGAGUAACACGUGGGUAACCUGCCCAUAAGAGGGGGGAUAACAUCCGGAAACGGGUGCUAAUACCGCAUAGUUUUCUUGAUCGCAUGAUCGGGAAAGGAAAGACGGCCUUUGUGCUGUCGCUUAUGGAUGGACCCGCGGCGUAUUAGUUAGUUGGUGAGGUAACGGCUCACCAAGACGAUGAUACGUAGCCGACCUGAGAGGGUGAUCGGCCACAUUGGGACUGAGACACGGCCCAAACUCCUACGGGAGGCAGCAGUAGGGAAUCUUCCGCAAUGGACGAAAGUCUGACGGAGCAACGCCGCGUGAGUGAAAGAAGGUUUUCGGAUCGUAAAACUCUGUUGUCAGAGAAGAACAAGUUGGAGAGUAACUGCUCCAGCCUUGACGGUAUCUGACCAGAAAGCCACGGCUAACUACGUGCCAGCCGCCGC
rnacentral:rRNA from 1 species